AUGACGCGCACAUGAAUGCAGAUGUUUUCUCCUGAGCCUUAUUUUUUAAAUCCCUGCAUUAAUAUUUUCUUUGGACUUGACUGUGCCAGAGUGCACGUGUACGCGUUCAGUGCUGUCCAGCAGAGGGCAGCAGAGGCCCACCCACAGCUGCUUCAGUCCAGCGGGUGGUGAUAAAGCCGAAGACUGUAGUGCAAAGAUGAUGGAUGUGAAGCAUGAGAGGAGAGCGUGAGGAGGAGCUGCUGGCAGCGUUCUGCUGUAAAACCGGUGGAGGGGGCGGUGGUGCAGAAGGAGUCAGAUUGAGCUGACUGACCAAGGACAGCUGUGGAUGAAGAAUGAAGAGCCGGGCGCUGUUCACUGAGCUGAGGGAGGAACAGCUGCUG
ensembl:lncRNA